rnacentral:rRNA from 1 species
GACGAACGCUGGCGGCAUGCCAAAUACAUGCAAGUCGAGCGAACAGAUGAAGUGCUUGCACUCCUGACGUUAGCGGCGAACGGGUGAGUAACACGUAAGGAAUCUACCUAUAAGCGGGGGAUAACAUUCGGAAACGGGUGCUAAUACCGCAUAAUAUCUUCUUCCGCAUGGAAGAAGAUUGAAAGACGGCUCUGCUGUCACUUAUAGAUGACCUUGCGGUGCAUUAGUUAGUUGGUGGGGUAAUGGCCUACCAAGACGAUGAUGCAUAGCCGACCUGAGAGGGUGAUCGGCCACAUUGGGACUGAGACACGGCCCAAACUCCUACGGGAGGCAGCAGUAGGGAAUCUUCCGCAAUGGGCGAAAGCCUGACGGAGCAAUGCCGCGUGAGUGAAGAAGGCCUUCGGGUCGUAAAACUCUGUUAUAAGAGAAGAACAAAUUGUAGAGUAACUGCUACAGUCUUGACGGUAUCUUAUCAGAAAGCCACGGCUAACUACGUGCCAGCCGCCGCAGUAA